CGGGGUGUGGCUCAGUUGGUAGAGCACCGCGUUUGGGACGCGGGGGUCCGCGGUUCAAGUCCGCGCACCCCGACCA
rnacentral:tRNA from 1 species